rnacentral:rRNA from 1 species
AGAGGAAGUAAAAGUCGUAACAAGGUUUCCGUAGGUGAACCUGCGGAAGGAUCAUUAUUGAAAUAAACCUGAUGAGUUGCUGCUGGCUCUCUAGGGAGCAUGUGCACACUUGUCAUCUUUAUAUCUCCACCUGUGCACCUUUUGUAGAUCUGGAUAUCUCUCUGAGCGCUUAGCAACUCAGGUUUGAGGAUUGACUUUAUUGUCUCUCCUUACAUUUCCAGACCUAUGUUUCUUAUAUACCCCAAUGUAUGUCAUAGAAUGUAAUUAAUGGGCCUUUGUGCCUAUAAAUCUAUACAACUUUCAGCAACGGAUCUCUUGGCUCUCGCAUCGAUGAAGAACGCAGCGAAAUGCGAUAAGUAAUGUGAAUUGCAGAAUUCAGUGAAUCAUCGAAUCUUUGAACGCACCUUGCGCUCCUUGGUAUUCUGAGGAGCAUGCCUGUUUGAGUGUCAUUAAUAUAUAUCAACCUCUACACCUUUUGUUUGUUGAGUUGUUGGAUGUGGGGGCUCUUGCUGGCUUCUCUGAGGUCAGCUCCCCUGAAAUACAUUAGCGGAACGAUCCCCGUUCAUUGGUGUGAUAACUAUCUACGCUAUUGACGUGAAGUAGUUUGGCUUAUAACAGUCCAUUGACUUGGACAAAUUUUCAUUAAUGUGACCUCAAAUCAGGUAGGACUACCCGCUGAACUUAAGCAUAUC